GACGAACGCUGGCGGCGUGCUUAACACAUGCAAGUCGAACGGAAAGGCCCUGCUUUUGUGGGGUGCUCGAGUGGCGAACGGGUGAGUAACACGUGAGUAACCUGCCCUUGACUUUGGGAUAACUUCAGGAAACUGGGGCUAAUACCGGAUAGGAGCUCCUGCUGCAUGGUGGGGGUUGGAAAGUUUCGGCGGUUGGGGAUGGACUCGCGGCUUAUCAGCUUGUUGGUGGGGUAGUGGCUUACCAAGGCUUUGACGGGUAGCCGGCCUGAGAGGGUGACCGGCCACAUUGGGACGGAGAUACGGCCCAGACUACUACGGGAGGCAACAGUGGGGAAUAUUGCACAAGGGGCGGAAGCCUGAUGCAGCAACGCCGCGUGCGGGAUGACGGCAUUCGGGUUGGAAACCGCUUUCGCCUGUGACGAAGCGUGAGUGACGGUAAUGGGUAAAGAAGCACCGGCUAACUACGU
rnacentral:rRNA from 1 species